GUGCUGCUUUCAGUCGCUCUGGACUGACCAAUUUGGCGUCAAAUCACAGCCCUGUCAAGAUGGAUGUGUCUUCUGUUCUUCCAGUUUCUGGCACACAAUCAAUUUCUAAUUCAGCUGCAAAUGUAUCUGUUAUCAGUCGACCACCAAUUUCCGCUGGAAAUAUUCCUCCGGCAACUGUAAAAAUUGAGCCCAACACUGUGACCCCCAUGACUGGACCUGGAUUUUCACAUAUUCCGUCUGUUCGUCCUGCUCUUCAACCGGUUCCAAGUUUGCAAGCUUCUUCUCCUCUUUCUGUUUCUCAGGAGAUGGUAUCACAUACUGAGAAUGUUCAGGAGAUGAAACCCAUAGUCAGUGGUAUGACUCAGUCCUUACGUCCGGUUGCUGCUGCAGCAGCAAAUGUCAAAAUCUUGAACGGUGUUGCUCAGGCACACCAAGUUCUAGGCGGGGGGACUUCUAUAGGACUGCAAUCUAUGGGUGGCACCCCUAUGCUUUCAAGUAUGAUAUCUAGUGGAAUGGCAUCUUCCGUCCCUGCUUCUCAAGCUGUAUUAUCAUCUGGGCAAUCAGGUGUGACAACAAUGACUGGGGCUGUUCCACUAGCAGGAAGUGCACAGAAUACACAAAACUCAGCUCCUUCUUCAUUCACUUCAACUGCUCCCAGUAUGUCUGGGAAUUCAAACAUUAGUAUUUCACAGCCUUUGAAUAAUAACCAAGGAGGUGUUGGUAUGACUGGUCAAACGGUUCCUGCAAUGAGCCAAGGUAAUAUACCAGGCACACAAAUGAUGCCAAGUGGGACAGGGAUGAACCAGAAUAUGCUGACUGGGCUGGGUGCAACUGGUUUGCCUUCCGGAACUGGCACAAUGAUGCCUACUCCAGGGAUGUCUCAACAAGGACAACCAGGCAUGCAACCAGUUGGUGUGAACAGCACAUCAGCGAACAUGCCUCUAUCUCAACAGCAAACAUCUGGUGCAUUGCCAUCAGCUCAAUCAAAAUAUGUCAAAGUUUGGGAGGGAAACUUAUCUGGUCAGAGACAGGGGCAGCCUGUAUUUAUUACCAGAUUGGAGGGGUAUAGGAGUGCCUCAGCUUCUGAAUCGCUUGCUGCAAAUUGGCCUCCAACAAUGCAAAUUGUUCGCCUUAUUUCCCAAGAUCACAUGAAUAACAAACAAUAUGUUGGGAAGGCAGAUUUUCUAGUUUUUCGGGCAAUGAACCAGCAUGGGUUCCUUAGUCAGCUGCAAGAAAAGAAGCUUUGUGCGGUAAUACAACUCCCAUCGCAGACACUGCUUCUGUCUGUUUCUGAUAAAGCCUGCCGCUUGAUUGGAAUGCUUUUUCCUGGGGAUAUGGUGGUGUUUAAGCCACAGAUACCAAGUCAACAGCAACAACAGCAGCAACAGCAGCAGCUGCAAGCACAACAUCCACAGUUGCAGCAACAGCAGCAACA
rnacentral:misc_RNA from 1 species